rnacentral:rRNA from 1 species
AUCAGGUAAGGUUACCCGCUGAACUUAAGCAUAUCAAUAAGCGGAAGAAAAGAAACCAACAGGGAUUGCCUCAGUAACGGCGAGUGAAGCGGCAAGAGCUCAAAUUUGAAAUCUGGCCCCGUCGGGGUCCGAGUUGUAAUUUGGAGAGGAUGCUUCGGGUGUCGCCCCCGUCUAAGUGCCCUGGAACGGGUCGUCAUAGAGGGUGAGAAUCCCGUCUGGGAUGGGUGGUGCCACCUGUGUGAAGCUCCUUCGAAGAGUCGAGUUGUUUGGGAAUGCAGCUCUAAGUGGGUGGUAAAUUUCAUCUAAAGCUAAAUACUGGCCGGAGACCGAUAGCGCACAAGUAGAGUGAUCGAAAGAUGAAAAGCACUUUGAAAAGAGAGUUAAACAGCACGUGAAAUUGUUGAAAGGGAAGCGUUGGGCACCAGACUCGCCCGGGAGGGCUCAGCCGGCACGUGUGUCGGUGCACUCCUUCCUGGGCGGGCCAGCGUCGGUUUGGGCGGCCGGUCAAAGGCCCCGGGAAUGUAGCACCCUCCGGGGUGCCUUAUAGCCUGGGGUGCCAUGCGACCUGCCCGGACCGAGGAACGCGCUCCGGCUCGGACGCUGGCGUAAUGGUGGUCAACGGCC